rnacentral:snRNA from 1 species
GGAUGUGAGAGCGACCUGGCUGGGACAGCUGUCACCCCAGUGAUCGCCAGGGUCGCGUCCCUUCCAAAGCUGCGCGCUCGCUCGAAGAGGACGACCGGCCUUCCCCGAGUAGCGGCGGCGGCCAGUCUUUAGUCAGAGUGGCUGCGCUCCCUGCUAGGACCUCCAAACAAGCUCUCAGGGAACUCUAGUACGAGAAGGCAAGUCUCAAGGCAGUCACCCUGAUUUUCGUUGUACAGACAAGUCAACUUUGCACUU